UACGUAGGGUGCGAGCGUUGUCCGGAAUUAUUGGGCGUAAAGAGCUCGUAGGCGGUUUGUCGCGUCGGGAGUGAAAACACCGGGCUUAACUCGGUGCUUGCUUUCGAUACGGGCAGACUAGAGGCAUGCAGGGGAGAACGGAAUUCCUGGUGUAGCGGUGAAAUGCGCAGAUAUCAGGAGGAACACCGGUGGCGAAGGCGGUUCUCUGGGACGGUACUGACGCUGAGACGCGAAAGCGUGGGGAGCGAACAGG
rnacentral:rRNA from 1 species